AUUAAGUUCCCUCUGUAUGCAGAAUAUUGUGCAACAUGGUAAUGGGUAGUACAAUGGAUCUGAGUGUGUAGACCUGGUACAAUAGAGCUUAUAGGCUAAUGGAAGACAGGAAGAAACAACAGGACCACAUAAAACUGGAAUGCAGAUGGGAUCUGUGCUACUUACACUAGCCAUGGGAUGAUUAGAACAAGAUAAGAGACAUGAGGAAGACUUCUUGAAGGAGGUCCUCAAGCCGUGUUUUGGAAAAGAGAACUCAAGAUCUAGCAGGGAGAAGGGAGCAAGAGCAGACUUUGAGUCUUUGCUUCAGAUGCAGAACAAGAUGUGGCAACUUGUUGUGGAGAACCGGGUCUCUUGUGCCCGUGCUGUCUCUUUUUUCUGGUGGCUUUGUCAUUUGGAACAAUGCAUAGUGGACUGUAGGCUGAGAAACUGUGAGCUGAGGGCAAGUAGAGCUACUGCUGUCUGGUGCCACUGUAAUGCUUUCUCCUCCUCUGAGUUCAUCCUGGAAACAUUUUCUCCCAUAAGACACGCACAGGUCUUACGUUUACAUGUUUCCCUGAAAGAAAUUUGAUUCCAUUGAUGGGAUGACAAGGAAGACUAGAGAAACCUAAACCUAGGUGCUGCCACUGGGACAAAGAAUAGGAACCAGACACAGUGCUGUUUUAGGGUGGGGCAGAAUUAUGCUGAGGGAAAAGUUAUUAUCACUCUUUAAGGCCAAGGAAGCCACAAUUUUUAAAGAAGCUUCUAGAAAUGCUACCUAAUAGAAAAGAAAGAUAAACUUCUGUAAGGAAUUUCGUUCUUUUCAGGAUUCACAAUCUGAAAUGUAGAAGCUCAUUCCUUUAUGGUUCUCAUAGAUAUUUAGUGUGACUGAGGGGUCAGUGGAUCCAUAGCACUCGGGCCAGGCUUCUCCCGAGUCCCUUUCUUCGGCACAGAGGGAGUGACUCACAGAUCCUCUACCCCCAAAGGCGUUGUUUUCUCAUCUCAACAAGAAUCCUGCGGCUGUCAUUUUAUCAGCACACGUCACUAGCUUCUCAAGUGAGACUACUCUUAAGUGAUCUGUGUUUGAAGAGUGCCUUUCCCUUUCUCUUCCGUAACUAAGAGGAUGAAAAAGUACACUCACUCCCUGUAUAAAAGCUGUGUGUUGUGAGCAGUCAUCUUGCCUGGCUGAGAACUCUAGGAUCAUUUUCUCUGCUCUCCGUUAGGCUGACACUCAUAGCCAGUCCUUCUGUUUAUUAGCCCUCUGAAUCUUAAUACUUUUGCUUUCAUUAUAACAUAAGUCACAUUCUUCUUGCAUCUGCCACUGCAUUUUCCAAAAGGGUUGUGUCAAGGGAAAUUCAACACUCACCUUUCUCAUUAUUUGCCCACCAGCUUGCUCACUCAUCAAAAGACCAGAGUUAUUUGAUACUUCAGAAGAGUAUUUUCCCCCUUAGAUGAUGUGUCAAGGGAAGGGGAGCUGGCCCCAGUGUCAGGUGACGGAAUUUUCUUCACAUUUCUGCUGUUGACUCAAUAAAUGUCCUUGGGCAAGUCA